rnacentral:rRNA from 1 species
AACGAACGCUGGCGGCGUGCUUAACACAUGCAAGUCGAACGAGAAAAUCCUGGCUUGCCAGGAUGAGUAAAGUGGCGCACGGGUGAGUAACACGUGAGUAAUCUGCCCCUAAGUUAGGAAUAACAUUGCGAAAGCGAUGCUAAUACCUGGUAAGCCCACGACUUCUUCGGUAGAUGUGGGAAAAGGUGGCCUCUGACAUAAGCUAUCACUUAGGGAUGAGCUCGCGGACCAUUAGCUUGUUGGUAGGGUAAUGGCCUACCAAGGCGAUGAUGGUUAGCUGGCCUGAGAGGGUGGCCAGCCACACUGGAACUGAGACACGGUCCAGACUCCUACGGGUGGCAG